rnacentral:misc_RNA from 1 species
CGACCCUUAAGCCUUAGUUGCUUAGUGUUGGGGGUUCGCCGUAACUGGCGACCCCUUAAAGAUAUUGGCGGAGUCGAGUUGAACUCUGAGCGUAGUAAAUCUUUUCUCGCUUUUUGAAGUCUUCACGGCUGCAGCCAUUAAACCAACUAUUUUCUAGU